UUAGUUGCCAUCAUUCAGUUGGGCACUCUAGCGAGACUGCCGGUAAUAAACCGGAGGAAGUGGGGAUGACGUCAAAUCAUCAUGCCCCUUAUGACCUGGGCUACACACGUGCUACAAUGGUUGGUACAACGAGUUGCGAGUCGGUGACGGCGAGCUAAUCUCUUAAAGCCAAUCUCAGUUCGGAUUGUAGGCUGCAACUCGCCUACAUGAAGUCGGAAUCGCUAGUAAUCGCGGAUCAGCACGCCGCGGUGAAUACGUUCCCGGGCCUU
rnacentral:rRNA from 1 species